ensembl:lncRNA
UUCAUUGCGAAGUUGGAGAACAUCUAACUGUGUAAAGGAUCUGAGGGAAUUGGGUGAAGUGAAUUUUGUGACUGUGAAGUUAGACAAUUAAAUUGUCAUCCGUGUUUCCAGAUAAUAGAGAAAAUCCUUUGAGAAAGUUACUUCUCAGGGAAAUGUCUAUCUCAUAUAGUAAUGAAUAGUCAAGAAAGCUGUGUUUUUAAAAAACAUAUAUCCACCAAAUGAUUACAAGUUGGUAUGCUUAAGGAGGGAAGAAAUGUGCAAUUUUUUGGUGUUUUUCUUUUGAGGGUUUCUUGUGCUGGUGUCCACACUCUGGCAACAUUAUCUUAACCUACUUCAACUGUCAGUGGUAGAAGAUAGUAGCUGGGGGUGGCCGAGUGCAAAGUGAGAUCUGCCACAGCGCAGUGGCAGUGCAGACGUGCUGGGGGUGGCUGUGACCUGGGACCCAGCAGCUGGGGGUGAGUGCCUGGAGGAGGAUGUUUCUGACUGGUGCUACCUAGAGAAAAAGCAGCCUGCUGGUGAGAUUCAGGAGUGUGAAGCACCUUAGGGCAUCAGGGUUUAGAAAGGGGUAGAAGAACAUGGGACAGAAAUGAGCAGUACAGAGCAAUGACAUACUUGAUGAAAAGCCAGCCUUACUGAGUGAGCACAGUCACAGAAUGAAAAGCUGCCCACUGGGCAGAUACCAGUGAUUGUACCAUAAGCAGGAAAAUGGCAUCAAUCUAGACACAGUGCUUUUUGUGACUCUUAAGGCAUUGAUGGAUGAAGACUUAAUGAAGAGAAGCUUCCUUUUUCUUAUGUUUUGACAUCUUUCAGGCUUAAACAUGAACUAACUACCAUUAUCCUAAUUUUACAGAUGGGGACAGACAGGUUAUGUGACAUGCUCCAGGUCACAUGAGCUGUGUGUGUCAGAGUGAGAAACAGCACCUGGAUCUCUCAAUUGUGAAGCUGUUGCUUUUGGCACUGCGUCAUCCUGACUGCAAACAAAACACUGAGAUUGACUUUGCCUGUGUCCUUCUUAUGCCUACAAAUGUGCCCACCUGCCAGCUUCAGAGCCAGCAGUCCACACCAUGUGCCCAAGGCAAGCCUGAUGCUUCCGCACGACGUCCAAAACUAUCAGUGUUGGGAUCAGAGAGACUAAUUGGAAAACUUAAAUUUUUUUAAGUCUGCCAGCCCAACAGCUCCUCCGGAAGAGCAUCCAGACGACACAGCAGGGAGCGAGGCACUGCUUGCCUGCACUCAGCAAUGUGCUGUUGAAUCACUGGGCCACAAAGUAAGUGCAUGCGAGGGAGCAUGGCUGCCUUUCCUACUGGUUUGAGCAUUCGCAUGGGAGUUUGAGAGUCUGGACUCUGCUCCCAGGACUGUUUAUGCAUUUUACGUGGAACAGUCACCAGGUAACAUAUAAUCCCCAAUCAAAGCCCUGAGGGGGUUCAGGCAAAGCAACGCCCAGUUUUUGGAUUCUGAUCAGAGUUAGGUGUGAAAUGGGCUGAGCUGCUUGGCCCUGUCAAGACUGGGGCAGUUCUGGGCAUGCAUGAAGGUGGAACUCUAGAUAGCUGAAGAACUUGAGAGUAUUAAAAAAAAGCUAGAGAUUGAAAGGGACAGACAGUCGGAAGAAUCUGGGAGCUGCAGCGGGCUGUAUAUGUGGGCAUUUCAAAGUGCAGAUCUAGGAUAAAGACUCAUGUGCUCCAAUGAUGAAGUCCUCUUACAGGGAAACAAUUGUUCUCACAGAUUUCUGAAGUAGAAACUUAUUUACAUAACCAUUUUUUUAAUGUCCUAUCCUAGUCACUGCAUUUGCUUGGAUUUCUUUCCACUAGGCUGCAUGUGCUGAGCUGCACAAUGGUGGCUGCCAUAUGAAUAGCUUGUUAUUCUUACCAAGCGUGACAACUGCUGUAGCAAAAUCAAGAGCAACCUGCUCUAAUGUAAACUGAUUUCAGAUUGCCCCUGGCAGUCCCAGCUACCUCAUCUAACCUCUUUUUUUGCCAGUUUUUUUCUUCCUUUUUUUUUUUUUCCUUCUCCCCACUGAAGACACACCCAGUGCUUUCUUGUAAGGCGUUUUAUCACACUGGCUUUUCCAUCAGCAUCCACAACACACAGAGAAGCUUCUCUGGUAUUGCCCUUGAUAUAUCUAAAGCCUCUUGGAUUCUCCAUCAGAUGCAGAAUGCAGCUGCCAGCUGUCUCCUGGGGAGAGCUCUG